ACCACGUAUAAUAGAGAACUUGAUUUAUCAUCACUUCAAAGUUCAAACCUUAGUAUACUUACCUAGGUUCUGAAUCUUAAAAUCGCAAAAUGUGGCUUUUGCGCAUUACUAAUCACUAUCCCCUCCACACUUGCUUUUUCACUUUAGUUCUAUUAAUCUGUUAUUCUGUGUUAUGCUGUCAAAAUCAACCUGUUAGGUAUAUUAUUCCGUCAACAUUUUUGUUUUUGAGGUUUUGCCAACAAUUUCCACCAAAUAAAUAUAAAUAAAAUAUAACUUUAAAUGUAAACAAUGAGAUAGAAAAUAAUUAUAUAUUAUUAUUUCUCCUCGUCUCUUCUUUCUCCUUCUUAAUAUUUCCUUCGCUGUUUUUUCCUUAUUCAACCUUCCAGCAAAUAGUCACUUCUUAUUUACGUUGUUCAUGUACUCUGUCACAUAUAAUUAUUAUGUUAAGCAGUAUAUAGAUUAUAAAAAUAAAAAAAUAAAAAAAUAAUUAUUUGAUAUAAAUAUUUUUGUAUAGCUAGGUCACUGAAUCUAUUUUGUGAUGUGAUCAAUCUUAUGAACGGUUUCAUUUUUCGCAUACAAGAAUAUAAAAUAUAAAUAUAUAAUAUAUAACUAGAGCUGUUCUAUACCCGGCGUUUCCCUUGAUAAAUAUUUGUAUUUUUAAAAUAUAUAAUUACUAAAACAUUUAUAUGCCAAAUCUUUUCUAACUAUAAUAAUUAAUAGUAAAAUAAAAUGUAACCAUUAAUAACCAUUUAUAAACGAAAAUGUACAGCGUAAAUCGAAAAAUGUUUGUUCGAGCCAAUUGUGAAUCUAAACCAUCCGGGGACCCACUCAAACACCCUAAAAAUGUCAUUAAAAUCCGUACAACAGUUUAGGGUAAAUUCAAAUAGGUACACAAGUACAAAACAAAUAAAUGUACAAAUAGGUACAUACCAAAUGGAAUAUAAUAUGACUUAUUUAUACCAUGAUUUUACUAAACAUAAUGUAAAUCAACUGAAAAUUUCUUUUGAUUUUUUAAAAUAAUUUUAAAUAGGGUUUCAGAUUUUCAACUUUAUUACAUACGAUAAAAUUUAUAUUUUAUACAAUAUACUCGUAGUCUGUUUUUUUGUUGCUAUAACUUUGUAGGUAUAUAGCCGAGACCCAAGGAGGAGAAGGGCACUUCUUAGUACGCCGAAUGCCGAUAAGCAUAAGUGCAGACAGAUAUUUAUAGUGACUAUAGUACUAGUGUAGUGUAUAAUACGCAGUGUUUACAUUAAACGGAACUUUUUAGUUGGUGAUUGUUUUAGGAAAUUAUAGGUAAGAUUUAAAAGUCCAAACAUAAAAUCUGUACCCUCAGAUCUAUGGCACACAGUUGUGACGCAGAUGUAAAUAUAAAAUUACCAAUUUAAUAAAAGACAUAAUACUUAAUAGUAGUAAGAUAAUAAAUAACAUAACCAAUAGUUAAGGUUUAUACUUAUAGUUUACUGUGUAAGUGUAAGACUUUACCCUUUAAAAGGUCUACUCAGUACCUUUUUGUGCACACCAUACUUACCAAUACUUAUCCAUAUAAUGGAUUACACAAAAUGAAAAUCACUCUUCACAACAAAUGUAAUUAUGUAAGGA